AAUUAAGUUUUGUAAUUAAUAAUUAUAUAUAUUUUUUUGUUUAAAAUUUUUUUUAUAGUAACUCGUAUAUAUGAGAUCCAAUGCAAUCUAACAAUAUGAUAUUGGUUUUUUGUUUUUCCUUUUUAGAUAUAUAUAUUAAAGUGAGAGAUGGAACAUUUUUUUAACCCAAGCUUGAUAGAAUCCGAUAUAGAUUUUUUCCCAAGGAAGGAAUUUUUGAAUUUUAUUAGUUAAAUAAUUUUUUUUUAAAUGCUUAUAAUAUUACAGCAAUAUUGUAGCAUUCCAUAUACUUUACCAAACAAAUCCAUCCCAAUUUGUCCAUAGGAGAACAAAUAAUAAACUAGUAACAAAACUACCUUUAUUAUUAUUAUUUUUUUUUUUUCUCCCAAAAGUUAAAAGAGUUUGAAUUAUUUUCUUUCUUUUAAAAAAAUACUUCAUCUAGGAAUAUAUAUAUAUUUUUUUUUUAUGUCAAAAUAAUUUGGUAAAGGAGAAGGAGAAGAAAAAUAUGGGGAAAGGCAAGUAGGGUGCGUCUACCAAUUCGAGGAGGAGUCGUGUCGUGUAAUGUUGAAGCCAGCUGUUCCAACAUAUAUACAUAUAUACGUAUAACAAAAUAAUAAAUAAAUAAGAAGAAGAAGAAGAUGAAAAAGCAGUUAGGGAGAGGAGAAGGGAGGCGUGCUUUAUUGCCGCCAUUCCAUAACCAGGCUGGGAUGUGGGGGAUGCUGACCUGGCAUUGGGUUCUCUAACGCCCCACAAUGCUUCCUUUACAAUCAUCCCCCUCUGACAUAGUCUCUCUCUGACUGACUGUGCUCUCUCACUUCUCAGGCUCGGCUGCCAUUGCCAGCUCUAUCCUACUGCUUCAUACUGCCACGCUGGCAGGAGUGCCACAUGGCAGAUAAUGACUUCUCAACCCCGUGCCACAUGGGCUCCUUCCAGUUUUUCGGUUUUCUUCCUUGCUUUUCAGUUUCCUGGUUUUUAUGCCGCCCUUGAAGCUACUUAGUCCGAGGGAAAAUUUUCAAGUACUCCCGGCGUAUGCAGUGCUCAGUACUACUGUCUCUCAAUUUUUGACACGUGUAUAACAUUUUUGGAUUGGGUAAACCGUUUGAAACGGCAACGUUAUCUCUAUAUGUUCAAUUUUUUUUUUUUCUUUUUUUUUCCAAGCAGAAUCUCUGGACAUUUACCGGUUUGUGAGUUUCUUCGUCAAAGCAUUACUCUAUACUUCCUAAAAUUAUAAAAUUAUAAAAAAUUAAAAAAAAAUCCUCCUUCCAAAAUUAAAAAAAUAAUAAUAAAAUGUAAACUUUGUAAAAAAACUAUUCAUGUUUCCAGAAAAAUGAAAUAAAGAUUUCCAAAAGCUUGGCUAAAAGAAAGAUAUCAAUUAAUUUAUCUCAAUAUAGUAAUAUCAUAUUCUUAUAGUUUGCUUUGAUAAAUUUCUAAAUAAUUAGCGUGGAUUGCUGAACUGAUUGAAUAUUUAAUUGUUUUUUAAAUAAUAAUUUUGAUUUAUCUGUAAAUUAUAUUUUUUAUUAAUUUAAAUAUAAGUCUAUAUAUAUAAUUAUUAUUUUUUACCGCAGACCUUUGCUAUUUUUUUUUAAAAUAUUUUUAUUUUCAUAAAAUUUAAUUAUGUUUGAUGUUUUUAAGAUAAAUUUUAAAAUAAAUAGUUUGUUUCUCUUCUACCACAUUCUACUAUGGUUGGUUUCAUAAAAAUUUAAACUAAACUAUUGCGCUGCAAUUCCAAUUAGCUAGUGGAGUCUGUACUUGUGGAAGGAAGAAAAUUGGGAUUUAGUUUAGCCUUUAUUUGCUGCGGGUUCAAUGGGGAAGAAAAAAGUUGCGACAAAAAUAGGAAUUGACAGCAAUCUAAAACGGAAGGAAUAGGGAAAAACAAAUGUCUUGCGCCGUUUUCAAGUGGUUUACGGGAUGGGGAAAGUUACACAGGUGUCAAACUUUGAAAGGCAGUAGUACUGAGCACUCCAUACGCCGGGAGUACUUGAAAUUUUUCCCACCCACAGGAUAAAGUUUGAAGGUGUCCCCGAUGGACUCUGAAUGUUUAUAAUAAGCAUGUUUUUGUUUUCUUAUUGAUUUUCAUAAAAGAUAUUUCGAAGUUGUUUUCAAAUCUCUCUCUCUCUCUCUCUCUCUCUCUAUAUAUAUAUAUAUAUAUGUAUAUAUUAAAAAAAAAAAAUUAUAACUAGUUAGCUUUUCA